AAAUAUCAAUCUUUACUUAGCUAUAGAAAUAUCAAUUGAGCGCACAUUUCAUUCUACACAAUCUUCGACGUUCCAACAAGCAUCAAUGAGAUCACCAACCUUAAAAAGAGAGAUCAAAAUGUAGCUGAAUGGGCUUUGAAUAUAAUCUUCGACAUCACCUACCUUCGUUACCAAAGAUUGAUGUGAUGAGAAGUGAUGGUGAAAUAUUGACCACCAUCCUCAAGGCCCCGCUUUUGAAAGCAUAGACCAAUUUCAGAGAAACAGCCAAUUUGUAAAAGUUCACGAAAGUCUUCGAAAAAAUACGACAAGUUCACAAAGUAAGUUUCGAUAUCUACUGACAUUACCCUGCAUGUAUCAUGGAAUAAUAGAAUUAUUUUUGAAGAAGAACAUGGUUAAUGUAUAUUACUGGUUAAUGUAAUCUUUGUGCCAUGCCUUUGUAUAUAUCUCCACUUUUAUGUCUACUCUUGUAUUUGCUGUUGUGUCUACCUUUAUGUCUACCUUGAAGAAUACGUUUGUGUUUAUGCCUUUA